UCUCAUUUCACUAAUAAGACCUCAUAUGCGUGUGGCGCUAUGUGACUCCAGCUUAUAUAUAGAGGCUGGGUUACAUGCUGCACUGGCCAAUCACAGCCAUGCCAUUAGUAGGCAUGGCUGUGAUGGCUUCCAAGGGCACACGAGUCAAACGCUUGUUGAUUCAUUAUUGUGAUGCUGUGAAGAACUGUACUGUUAUUACCCUCCUCUCUGGUCCCCCACAAGAAUGGGCCCAUGAUCUCCUGCGUAUUGAUGAUCCAAGUAUCCAAACCUGGACUGCUUUUCUUGAAGCUAUG